GACAGAGGGUGCAAACGUUGUUCGGAAUUACUGGGUGUAAAGCGCGUGUAGGCGGCAGGCCAAGUCGGUGGUGAAAGCGCCCGGCUCAACUGGGCGAGGUCCAUGGAAACUGGUCAGCUGGAGGACGGUAGAGGCGAGUGGAAUUCCCGGUGUAGUGGUGAAAUGCGUAGAGAUCGGGAGGAACACCUGUGGCGAAGGCGGCUCGCUGGGCCGGUCCUGACGCUGAAACGCGAAGGCGUGGGGAGCGAACGGG
rnacentral:rRNA from 1 species